AACGUAGGGGACAAGCGUUAUCCGGAUUUACUGGGCGUAAAGCGCCCGUAGGCGGCGGCUUAAGUUGGACGUGAAAGCUCCUGGCUUAACUGGGAGAGGCCGUUCAAAACUGAGCCGCUAGAGUGAGGCAGAGGAGCGUAGAAUUCCCGGUGUAGUGGUGGAAUGCGUAGAGAUCGGGAGGAAUACCAGUGGCGAAAGCGGCGCUCUGGGCCUAAACUGACGCUGAGGGGCGAAAGCGUGGGGAGCGAACGGGAUUAGAUACCCUCGUAGUCC
rnacentral:rRNA from 1 species